UGGGGAAUAUUGCACAAUGGGGGAAACCCUGAUGCAGCGACGCCGCGUGAACGAAGAAGGUAUUCGUAUCGUAAAGUUCUGUCCUAUGGGAAGAUAAUGACAGUACCAUAGAAGAAAGCUCCGGCUAAAUACGUGCCAGCAGCCGCGGUAAUACGUAUGGAGCGAGCGUUGUUCGGAAUUAUUGGGCGUAAAGGGUACGCAGGCGGUUUAAUAAGUCGAAUGUUAAAGAUCGGGGCUCAACCCCGCAAAGCAUUGGAAACUGAUAAACUUGAGUAGUGGAGAGGAAAGUGGAAUUCCUAGUGUAGUGGUGAAAUACGUAGAUAUUAGGAGGAGUACCAGUAGCGAAGGCGACUUUCUGGACACAAACUGACGCUGAGGUACGAAAGCGUGGGGAGCAAACAGG
rnacentral:rRNA from 1 species